GGGCUUAUAGCGCAGUGGUAGCGCGCACGCUUUGCAUUACGUAAGGUUGUGGCUGUGCGUGAGGUCCGGGGUUCAAUCCCCCGUGAGUCCA